rnacentral:piRNA from 1 species
GGAAAAAUUCUCAGAUGUCCAAUGUU